rnacentral:rRNA from 1 species
UGCCGGCGACCGGCGUACGGGUGAGUAACACGUAUGCAACCUGCCCGUCUCAGGGGGAUAAUCGUCGGAAACGGCGUCUAAUACCCCGUAUGAAGCUGGACGGCAUCGUCUGGUUUUGAAAGAAUAUCGGAGACGGAUGGGCAUGCGGCGCAUUAGCUAGUUGGCGGGGUAACGGCCCACCAAGGCGACGAUGCGUAGGGGUUCUGAGAGGAAGGUCCCCCACACUGGUACUGAGACACGGACCAGACUCCUACGGAAGGCAGCAG